AAUUAUGGUGGGGCGUACGGGGCCGACUUCGGUCGGGCCGGGUUUUCUUUGUUGACCGGUAGUUCCAACCCUGUACGUCUCACCACCCCG
rnacentral:antisense_RNA from 16 species